rnacentral:rRNA from 1 species
UGAGUAACACGUGGACAAUCUGCCCCCCGGCCCGGGAUAGCCCAGGGAAACCUGGAGUUAAUACCGGAUGAGACGGGACCCGCGAAGGCGGGACCCGGGAAGGCGCUGCGGCGCCGCCGGGGGAUGAGUCUGCGUCCCAUUAGCUAGACGGCGGGGUAACGGCCCACCGUGGCGACGAUGGGUAGCCGGCCUGAGAGGGUGGACGGCCACAUUGGAACCUGAGACACGGUCCAGACUCCUACGGGAGGCAGCAGCUAAGAAUCUUCCGCAAUGGGCGAAAGCCUGACGGAGCGAACCGCCGCGUGAAACGAAGAAGGCCGUGAGGUUGUAAAGUUCUUUUCGGGAGGGGGAACAACCGUGGCAGGGAAUGGCCGCGGGAUGACGUGAAUCCCGGAAUAAGCCCCGGCUAACUACGUGCCAGCCGCCGC